CACAACCCUCCAGUCCAGCAGUGUAGCGCGGGAAACGGUGGAGAAUCUUCAUUAACAGGUGAUCACGGCUGAGCAAACAUCAUCAAACCAUAACACCGAGUGCCAGAACAUCCAGACCAGCAAUCCUUUCAACCUUGCAAUCACACUUCAGUAUCUGCAGAUCGAAAAGAACCCUGCCCUGGGUACGCAAAGGAGAUUGCUUUCAGUUACGGUAGCCUGAACAUAAGAUCCUACUAGCAAAAUAAAUCCAUGUUUUCAAGCGCUGAGGGGUCACGAUGCUCAUCUAAUGCAUAACAUCUUCAAAGC